rnacentral:lncRNA from 1 species
UGGUCGAUUUUAUGUUUUUCUUCAAAUCUUUCAAGUUUUUUACAAGCUUUCAUCUUGUUUUGAAGUUUUUGAGCUAAAGAGCAAAGUUUUGAAGCUUGGAGACCCCCGGAGCUUGUUCCUCCAUAUCUCCGAGUUUGGGAUCGCAUCUCCUCUCGAUCUUCAAGAGGUAAGUGUCGAUCCACGCCUUUUAUGAUGUUUUAAGUAAGUUUUAAGAAG